rnacentral:rRNA from 1 species
UACGUAGGGGGCUAGCGUUGUCCGGAUUUAUUGGGCGUAAAGAGCGUGUAGGCGGCCAAGUAGGUCCGGUGUGAAAACUCGAGGCUUAACCUCGAGAUGUCAUCGGAAACCAUUUGGCUAGAGUCCGGAAGAGGAAAGUGGAAUUCCUGGUGUAGCGGUGAAAUGCGCAGAUAUCAGGAAGAACACCAAUGGCGAAGGCGGCGACCUGGGCCAAUACUGACGCUGGAGGUGCGAAAGCGUGGGGAGCGAACAGG